CCUGGGAAACACAGAUGCAGCUUCCCGAGGUGGCCGUGCCAGCCCUGCGGAGUGGCAGGGCCUCUCUGGGCAGGAGCCACACUGGGGCCUUGUUCCCCACGUCCUCUGCGUGACCCUGCUCUGAGCCUGUGCCUCGGUGCUGCUGCAGGUCCCAAGCACGUCUGCCUUCUGUCCCUGGAGGCUCUGUGAGUCGUGGGGUGUGGACAUGUGGGUCAGGAUGGUGGGGGGCUGCCCAGCGUGGGCACAGGGCUGCAGCCUCCUCCCUCGCUUCUGGUCCGGGCCUGUGGCUCUGCAGGCGCCCCGCUCCUCAGUGAACAGAGCCUGUGCUCUGCAGUCUGCUUGCCUGGCUCCUUCUGCUGCGUGGUAAAGUGCCAGCUACUGCUCAGGGGACCAAGGGACACCAUGAGGCUGGCGUCCCUCUGCCCAUGGCAGCCGGGGCCAGGACGCUCAGGGGUGGCUUGGGCCGGGGUGAAGUAGCAGCCGCUGACACGCACUCCUGUGAGUUGAUGCUGCUCACUGGCCAGAGGCUUGCAGGGGACUCUCAGUGUGACACAGCCUGGGUCCCCAUGGCUGCCUGGCUCACUUCCAGCAUGCAGCAUGUGACUACCAGAAUCAGAAAGAUUCCUGUGGAGGGCCGGGGAUUUAGCUCAGUGGUUUUGCCGCCUGCUGCACAAGCGCAAGGACCCGAGUUCGAUCCCCGGUACCAAAAAAAAAAAAAAAAGAAAGAUUCCUGUGGAACAAGGAUUUGACACCACCUGUGCUCGGCUCCACUUGUCACCCUGGUGCUUGGAUAUCAGCGGUCAGAACGGAGACAUGCGCGUUUCUAGGAGUGCUUGAACCGUGGUUUUCAUUUACCUCUUUCUCGUGGGCUUAAACUUCAAAGUAACAAGGAGACCCAAAGGGCCCUCCUGGGGAGUGGCUCCGGAUGACAUCUUUGCCAUCUUUCCAGGGUGUGGGAGGGCUCUGGAGGGGAUUUGCCCAGCACUGAGACCUGGAAGCAGAGUCAAUGCCAUCAGGGCAGCGACUUCUCAGUCCUUUUCUGACACUGCAUCUGCUGUUUCAGGCCCUGCGUUGCCUGGAGUUGGGCUAACGCAACGGUAGCCACGGCUGCUUUAAUUAUUGAAUGUAAAUUUGAUUUUAGAAAACAGUUUGGCUUCCAGUUGCACAUCUUAAGGUCUCGAUGGCCAUGGGUUGUGGCCUCCGUGGUGGCAGCAUAUGGAGGUCGUGUCCACUGUGCAGGGGACGCCCCUGACUCCCCUCCCGUCACCAGAGGUCUUCCUGUCCUCUGGCGUUAUUGGCAUUUUGAGAAGCUUCCUUUCUGGUUGACAGGGCUUUCCGGGGGCUUGGGGACAUCACAGUGAUGUCAUGUGGGUCUCUCCACAGAGGAUAUGGGCAAGGGACUGACUUCUAGCUGGCUUUCAAAAGGAGAGCAAUCCCAGAACGUGGCCCAUUCAGACUCCACAGGGUCCCCCAGUCUGGUGCUGGUGAGCAGGAAGAGCUGUCCAUCCAGUGGGGAGCCGUGGGUGACACUGCCAGGGGCCCCCGCCCUGACACAGGGAUGAUGAGUGAGCAGAUGCCCCUGGAGCACCCUCCCUGCAGGGCCAAGUGCUCCCGUCCCAGCAGCAGGGUGCUGUCGGGGGCCCUGGGGCCACAGCGGGGACAUGGGUGUCCAGAGAGGCCCCUGCUUUGCUGGGGUGCCAGCUCCAGCCUCUGCCUCCCGUAGUGGCAUCGGUAAAAUCCAUCCACCUCUCCACGUGGGGACGGAGAAGGUCUACGGGUUGCAGCGUGACCCCGGCCCAGGACAGCUCCCCCCAUGCGACCAGUUUGCUCUUUCCCGUGACCCCAGGCCCCGCCCGGGUGCCUGUCCCACCUCUCCAUCCACAUGGUCCGGGCCUCUCUGGGGCCCCCAGGCCCCAAGAUGGUGGCAGUGGGAGACUCCGGUGUUGGGGGUGGGCUGUAGUCAGUGUCCCACGGGGAGACCCGGACUCUGCUCCCGGCCACGUGUGCCCCUCUCGGCGUCAGAUAGGCCACACGUCACGGUCGCCAGGGUCCUCUAGGGAAGGAGGCGAACUCAGUGAACUCAUGUGUUUUAAGGAUGCGUGUCCCCAAGCCACGCACAGUGGCCACGGAUCUGCGGCUGGGUCACGGGUUGCCAUGACAGCAUCUCAGCCGGGCGGCCAUGCUGGGGUGAGGAGCGAGCACUUCAGCAUAUGACUUUGGGGCUGGGGCAAACAUUCACAAUAAUGUGUGCAAAGAUUUAUUCGUGAGAGUGACCGAAGCAGUUUGUUUCUUUUUGGGGGGCUGAGUUUUUUGUUUUUCUUUUUAUUGAAACAGGGUCUUGCUAUGUAGUUCAGGCUGUCCUCAAACAUGUGGUGAUCCUCCUGCCUCAGCCUCCCAAGUGCUGGGAUUACAGGUGUGCGCCACCAUGCCGAGCAGCAGUUUUGUUUCUAAGAGGAUCCCAAAACAAAGAAAGCCACCUAAAAGGUCAACAAAGGUUGCUGACUGUUUAAAUUGUGGUUCGUUGUGAAAGACCCAUACCAUGCAAUCAUUAAAUUAUGUUGGAAAGUCAUAAUUAUCAAGGGCAAUAUUCCCAAUCCUGUGAGUAAGAAAAAUACACUAUUACAUAAAAUUUGAGGCAAUUGAAAGUCUGUAUUCUUAUAAACUAUUAUAAAAAUGUUUCCAUCUAAAUGAACACUAACUUCAAAAUAAAUAAAUGCCAAAAGACCUUCUCCGGACAUUUGUCCUAAUGAUGGACAAAGACAGGACCAUUCUGCUUGGACACUCAGCUACAGAGAUAUUUGUUUCCUCAAAAUGAUUUCUGAGCCAGGCAUGGUGGUGCAGGCCUGUCAUCCCAGCAUCUGGGAGGCUGAGGCAACUUGGUAAAACCCAGUCUAAAAUACAAAAUCAAACAGUCUGGAGAUGUAGCUCAGUGAAAAAGUUCUUGGUUCAAUCUACAGUAUCAGAGACACACACACACACACACACACACACACGCACAUGGUUUUUUUAACAUAAAAGUAAAACUUGUUUACUGAAAAGAUAAAAUCUUUACUUAUUCACUCAUUACACUAAGAUUGGAAAGAAAUCUGGGGAGAUCAAGCCUCUUCAAAAAUCUCCUUCCUAAGGGGUCAGGGAUUUAGCUCAGUGCUUCCACUGCCUGCCUCAGAAGCACAAGGUUCCGAGUUUGAUCCCUGGCACCGAAAAAAAAAUCCCCCUCCUAGUAGGUCUGUAAUUAAAAAAAAUAAGAUGCUCCGCACAACAUUUAAACUAUGAAUAUUUCUGAAAAAUAAUUAUGACUAAUCUUUUCUCUGUGCCCCUCUAUGUUUUUCAACAUAAUUCUUUCUACAUAUACUUUUAUAAUCAGAGAAAAGCAAUAGCAUUUUUCCAUCUUUAAAAGGAAGAAAUCAUCUAUAAAAUAACAACACCCAAAUCUCUGAACAAUAUAUGAAAGUUUUUAACUCAAACUAACAUUUUCUUUCUUUUUUUUUUCAGAGGUUAAACAGUUUAAGACCAGAGUUUAGCUCAGUGGCGCGGCGCCUGCCUCAGAGGUUAAACAGUUUAUUAUGUACAAGUAUAAAGUGCGACUAGAAAUGGGCAGGGGCCAGGCCGGAAGACGUCCCCAGCUCAGUCCGUGAUGAUGAGCUUGUCCACUCCCCAGUCUGCAUAGCUCCCAUCGGGCAGGUAGCGGCGAAUGAUGAUGAGGAUCCUCCGGGCCUUGAGCUCCCUUCAGACCUAAGGCCUUGGAGUGUUUUAUGCUUGGUCUAGCCACAGCAUUGCUAUUAAUGUCAUUUCUAUAAAUUCCUUUUCAAGGUAGCCUGUAAAUUACGUAUGGAAAUCAAUCUUACCACGCUCUACCUGCCUUAAUAAUGACAAUUAAUUAUUAAUUAAUUAAUAAUUAAUUAACAAGGUGAAUCACUGUGCGUGUUCAGCCCACUGAGCUCUGAAUUACUUUAGGCUGUUUCCAAAAACCAGGCCCACCUCCAGAAAGCUGAAAGGGCCUCAGAGCCACAGACUUUUCACAGGAUCAUAGAAAGGAUUUUCAACGUUAUGCCAAACAGUGGUGGGUGCCAAACGUUUCUUUCUCUUCUCUCUCACCCCUCAACUUCUCUGUCUGCAGAAGACAUACCCUUGGAAGAGAAUGGCAGAUUGCCAUAGCUCCACUUUCUGGAGUAGUAUGUUUUUUAAAAUUUUGUCUUCACCGCAAAAUUGAAAUCUCUUUCCACAGUUCAAAAGUUUGAGAACCUUCUCCAUCUGCCUCAAAGUCUGCAGCAUCUACAGAUAAAAUCGAAAGGAGACAUUUGUGUGAGGUUGAGACAAGAGACCUCAGUCAGAAGCUGUGGGUGGUAAGAAGUGGAGACUUUACACACACGCAUGCACACACACACGCAUGCACGCAUGCACGCACAUGCACACACGCACUGGGGUUCAGGGGGAAGGCUCCAAAAGGUCCCCAGGCCACCUGGGCUCCUGGAUUGGAAGAAACUUAUCGCUUAUCUUUGAACACUGGACUUGGAGUCUAACAAAUCAUUUUUCCGUUUCUACCCUAAAGCAUUGUUUACUGGCAAGCUAAGACCUGUCUAGGUGGUAACGCAGUCGGAUUUGUCCUUUAGCACCAAUGUCCGACUUAAGCACCCAGGUUUCUAAAAUAAUGUUAAAAACUCAUUGAAGGGAGUGGGUAUAGGGUAUGACCUUGGGGACUACAUCUGGUCCCUGAAUCCUUCUUCUUUGUCCUUUCUCCCUCUCUGCUUCCUGGCCACCAUGAGGUGAGCAGCUUUCCUCCACCACACCCUUUGCCAUGAUGUUCUACCUUAUCUCAGGCCUGGAAGGAAUGGAGCCAGCCAACCAUGGACUGAACCCUCUGAAACCAUGAGCCAAAAUAUUUGGUUUUGGGUUUUUUUUUUUGUCACAGAAACAAAAAGCUGAUGAACACAACAACAUAUAAAAAAGACCCUAGCGAGGACUCUACCCCUCCUACCAUGUGAGGACAUUGCAAGAAGCCAUCAUGUAGGAAGUGAUCCUCACCAGACACCAGAUCACCCACUCCUCAAUCUCAGACUCCUGGCCCCCAGAACUGUGAUAAAUAAAUUUCUGUUGUUUAUAAGUUCUCUGGGUUACAGUAUUUUCUUAUAGUGGCUUGAACAGACUAAGACACAAAUCUAACUCCUGCUUGGAUGGUAUAGGUUUGACAAGACUAUCAGUUCUACACACUCAAUUUAUUUAUUUUCUAUAUUUAUGCAUGAAAUUGCAAAUAUGUAAUAUGUAUGCUAUGCUUUUAUUUGUCCCUAUGUUACUACUAG
ensembl:lncRNA